UACAAUCUUUGCAGGAUCAGCUUGACCAUAUUUCAUCUUUUUUUGCAGAGAUUUGCUCCUCCGGUACAUAACUAAAUAUAUUUGAAUAUUUUAUAUAAUUAUAAUGUAUUCUUGUAUGAGCGUGAUGACUUUCGUAUUUUUCUUGUAGGUUGAUGAUACUUCAUCUACUCGUAGAGAUGAUGAUGCCGUCGAUCCUUGAUACAUAUCGUAGAUUGUGUACUUAGGAAUUUGAGAUGUAUAUUUUUAGAAUGUUUUUGAAGUACAAUGUAAUCAAAUAUUAUAAUAUGAAUGUAAUCAAAGUUCUUGUUUGUGA
rnacentral:lncRNA from 1 species